GAAACGCGAUAGCUAGUGUGAAUUGCAGAUUUUCGUGAAUCAUCGAGUCUUUGAACGCACAUUGCGCCCCCUGGUAUUCCGGGGGGCAUGCCUAUUCGAGCGUCGUAGUCACGCUUCAAGCCCGGCUUGAUGAUGGGGAACGCCCUCUUUGGAGAGGGGGGCCUCCCUUAAACGCAACCCCGGACCGCCUCGCUGGCGGGGAGCGCAGCAGCAGUGCGCUUCCCAGAGGCGGCCGGGUGCCCCCCCCCCGUGGGCUCGAGAAUGCUAGACCUCGAAUUAGGCAGGGAUACCCGCUGAACUUAAGC
rnacentral:misc_RNA from 1 species